rnacentral:rRNA from 1 species
GAUGAACGCUGGCGGCGUGCCUAAUACAUGCAAGUCGAGCGAACAGACGAGGAGCUUGCUCCUCUGACGUUAGCGGCGGACGGGUGAGUAACACGUGGAUAACCUACCUAUAAGACUGGGAUAACUUCGGGAAACCGGAGCUAAUACCGGAUAAUAUAUUGAACCGCAUGGUUCAAUAGUGAAAGACGGUUUUGCUGUCACUUAUAGAUGGAUCCGCGCCGCAUUAGCUAGUUGGUAAGGUAACGGCUUACCAAGGCAACGAUGCGUAGCCGACCUGAGAGGGUGAUCGGCCACACUGGAACUGAGACACGGUCCAGACUCCUACGGGAGGCAGCAGUGGAAUCUUCCGCAAUGGGCGAAAGCCUGACGGAGCAACGCCGCGUGAGUGAUGAAGGUCUUCGGAUCGUAAAACUCUGUUAUUAGGGAAGAACAAAUGUGUAAGUAACUAUGCACGUCUUGACGGUACCUAAUCAGAAAGCCACGGCUAACUACGUG